UACAGAGGAGCCAAGCGUUGUCCGGAUUGACUGGGCGUAAAGCGCACGCAGGCGGUCGCGCGCGUGGGGUGUGAAAUCUGGCCGCUUAACGGCCAGGCGCCAUCCCAUACGGCGCGACUGGAGUGAUGCAGAGGUCGAUGGAAUUGCCGGUGUAGUGGCGAAAUGCGUAGAGAUCGGCAGGAACACCCAGGGGGAAACCAGUCGACUGGGCAUCUACUGACGCUGAGGUGCGAGAGCGUGGGGAGCGAACCGG
rnacentral:rRNA from 1 species